rnacentral:rRNA from 1 species
CCUUACCUGGCCUUGACAUACUAAGAACUUUCCAGAGAUGGAUUGGUGCCUUCGGGAACUUAGAUACAGGUGCUGCAUGGCUGUCGUCAGCUCGUGUCGUGAGAUGUUGGGUUAAGUCCCGCAACGAGCGCAACCCUUUUCCUUAUUGCCAGCGGGUUAAGCCGGGAACUUUAAGGAUACUGCCAGUGACAAACUGGAGGAAGGCGGGGACGACGUCAAGUCAUCAUGGCCCUUACGGCCAGGGCUACACACGUGCUACAAUGGUCGGUACAAAGGGUUGCUACCUCGCGAGAGGAUGCUAAUCUCAAAAAGCCGAUCGUAGUCCGGAUCGCAGUCUGCAACUCGACUGCGUGAAGUCGGAAUCGCUAGUAAUCGCGGAUCAGAAUGCCGCGGUGAAUACGUUCCCGGGCCUUGUACACACCGCCCGUCACACCAUGGGAGUUUGUUGCACCAGAAGUAGGUAGUCUAACCGCAAGGAGGACGCUUACCACGGUGUGGCCGAUGACUGGGGUGAAGUCGUAACAAGGUAAGCGUAGAUGA